rnacentral:rRNA from 1 species
CCCUUAGAUGUUCUGGGCUGCACGCGCGCUACACUGAUGCACUCAACGAGUUUACGACUUUGCCCGAGAGGGUUGAGUAAUCUUUUUAAAAUGCAUCGUGAUGGGGAUAGAUUAUUGCAAUUAUUAAUCUUCAACGAGGAAUUCCUAGUAAGCGCGAGUCAUCAGCUCGUGCUGAUUACGUCCCUGCCCUUUGUACACACCGCCCGUCGCUCCUACCGAUUGAGUGUUCCGGUGAAUAAUUCGGACUGCAGCAAUUCUCGGUUCCCGAGUUUGCAGCGGAAAGUUUAGUGAACCUUNANACUUAUNGGAAGGAGAANUCGUANCA